UUAUUACAGACAAAGCAAUCAAGAUCAGCAUCGCAAGGCUCCAUUGUGUGACCGGUGCACUUACAUCUGAAAUAGAAUGGUGCCUUCGGCUUUUUGGCCUUCACAACGUCAUCCCCGGCUUGCUGUGCAGCCACUUCUGGAGACGCAGAAGAAUCAGACCCGGGAAACGAACCCUGUGCAUGAUGCUGCAACAGCUGUCUCCCAGAACCUGAGGCUCCAUUCCAGAUGAACCAGGCGCCCCACGAAUUGGACCAGAUCCUCGACCCGCAGGUACCUGAUGGGGACGCCGAAACUGCUGCUGCUGUCCCUGAAGAAUAUGCGUCGGUGGUGCACGAUUCUGUCCACCCCAUCCUCGCCCACCCCUAGCCUUCGUAGGCUGGCGUGCUGUCAUAGCUGCGUAGGAGGGACGAACUGGCUGUGGCGGCGGACGAAAACACGAAGUCGCAAUCGAACGCAAUGAAGGGUAACAUGGAGACGCAGCUGACCGCGGGCGCAGAUGUGGUGUGGAUCGGGCCCGCACGAAGUUGAGGCAAGAACGACUGAAUUCCUUGGCCCGGUCAACCAGCAGUAAAUUACUUAGAAAAUCAAAGCGUCCUCAUCGUCCAAUCCUGUGAUGCCUCUGGUCCUGCUAAGAUCUCGUUCUGUGUGGUUUUCCCCUUCGGUCAGCCGAGAUAGCGGUGUUUACUCAUAAAGUUGCGCCUAAAUGAAUCACCUUUUUUGCUUAGAGUUUUCGGAUUGUUCCUUCUGUAAAAUGGUGCAUAUUGUUUCAGUGUGUGAACUAUACUGAACCAUUCAGUGCUUCAUUUUAGGUCUGGCAACCGGUGUAGAUGCACUGGAAGAUGGGGAAGAUCUGCAGUUUGAUCCUGAGGCUUACAAUUAUCUCCGAGGUUUUGGCAUUGGCUGGUCUUGCUUGAGGUAAAGUUUAUCUUCAUUCCCCCCACUUUUUGGGUGCUUACUUCAGGAGUCAGGACAAUAUACGAUCUGUUUUCAAUUACUAAAACCUUCUGUUGCGGUUUUAAUGUUGUGCGCGAUCAACUUGGACUCAUCAGAUCGGAGUUCCCUCAUACAUUCUAUGGUGUUGCAAGAACGCAGGUUGUGUUAGUCUUUACACCUUUAAAACCUAGGCAUUGCUUUUUCGCAAAAAAACUAGGUAUUAUUACUAUCGAAACUUGGAUUGCUUUUGAUGUCUAUCACAUAGUGCUUUUUGUUAUCUAAAUUAGAACUUGUACAUGAAUUAGUUUUGUACUUCUGUUCCUGUUUAUGUGUUUUGGAUUUAAAAAGUGCACCAUUGCUGAUUUUAAGCUCAGAAAAGCCAUGCCAAAAACGUUUUGUGAGCUCUCGCUUGCAUUUAUAUCAUUACUGUUGCCAGAAAUUGUGAUGGAUUGCAAGCGGGUGAAUUUGGACUGGCAAAAGAUUAAUAUAAGCUUAAAUGCGACAACUUUGUGUUUGAUGUACUGUACCUACCAGUAUUCUGACAAUAAAAUUUAGUUUUUCUUUCUGAGUUCGCAACGCACUGUACCUACCUCAGCUACUGAGGAAGAGGAGGUGAACCUUGAUCGGCGUGUUGGCAGAAUACUGGAGGAACUCGAGAUGGUCUCCAUUGAGGAAGGUCGUUUGAGGUUCGAGAGCCUGAUGCCACUGUUCUAGGAACUACUAGAGAACAAGAGCCCGAUGGCUAUACUUGAACCCCUCAUGCAACAGACGUUUAUUAGAAUUGACACACUUACCAUUGUAAGGCCUAGACCAAUUGGUUGGUUCCCUCCCUUGAUGUAGGGAUGAUGCUUGUUGUAUUGCAUUACUGCACUGGCAACCAUUGUACAGGUUGUAGCUUCUCAUGGUUAGCAGAGUGCAGGCAUGAUUUUUUACAUGUGCAGCCUGCACACCUGUCGUCCAGUAGUUUGGCUCGGUUGUAUUAGCAGCAACAAUGAGUGGUGUUGUCGUGUUAUGCCUUAAGCAAAUUGUAUGGUAGUUGUAUCGAUGAUUCGUCUGUAUGGCUUGGGUGCCUGUCGCAAAACUGAAUAAUCGAUCGUGCCUUAUGAUGUGCCA